rnacentral:rRNA from 1 species
GGGUUGUGAGGUUAAGCGACUAAGCGUACACGGUGGAUGCCCUGGCAGUCAGAGGCGAUGAAGGACGUGCUAAUCUGCGAUAAGCGUCGGUAAGGUGAUAUGAACCGUUAUAACCGGCGAUUUCCGAAUGGGGAAACCCAGUGUGUUUCGACACACUAUCAUUAACUGAAUCCAUAGGUUAAUGAGGCGAACCGGGGGAACUGAAACAUCUAAGUACCCCGAGGAAAAGAAAUCAACCGAGAUUCCCCCAGUAGCGGCGAGCGAACGGGGAGCAGCCCAGAGCCUGAAUCAGUGUGUGUGUUAGUGGAAGCGUCUGGAAAGGCGCGCGAUACAGGGUGACAGCCCCGUACACAAAAAUGCACAUGCUGUGAGCUCGAUGAGUAGGGCGGGACACGUGGUAUCCUGUCUGAAUAUGGGGGGACCAUCCUCCAAGGCUAAAUACUCCUGACUGACCGAUAGUGAACCAGUACCGUGAGGGAAAGGCGAAAAGAACCCCGGCGAGGGGAGUGAAAAAGAACCUGAAACCGUGUACGUACAAGCAGUGGGAGCACGCUUAGGCGUGUGACUGCGUACCUUUUGUAUAAUGGGUCAGCGACUUAUAUUCUGUAGCAAGGUUAACCGAAUAGGGGAGCCGAAGGGAAACCGAGUCUUAACUGGGCGUUAAGUUGCAGGGUAUAGACCCGAAACCCGGUGAUCUAGCCAUGGGCAGGUUGAAGGUUGGGUAACACUAACUGGAGGACCGAACCGACUAAUGUUGAAAAAUUAGCGGAUGACUUGUGGCUGGGGGUGAAAGGCCAAUCAAACCGGGAGAUAGCUGGUUCUCCCCGAAAGCUAUUUAGGUAGCGCCUCGUGAAUUCAUCUCCGGGGGUAGAGCACUGUUUCGGCAAGGGGGUCAUCCCGACUUACCAACCCGAUGCAAACUGCGAAUACCGGAGAAUGUUAUCACGGGAGACACACGGCGGGUGCUAACGUCCGUCGUGAAGAGGGAAACAACCCAGACCGCCAGCUAAGGUCCCAAAGUCAUGGUUAAGUGGGAAACGAUGUGGGAAGGCCCAGACAGCCAGGAUGUUGGCUUAGAAGCAGCCAUCAUUUAAAGAAAGCGUAAUAGCUCACUGGUCGAGUCGGCCUGCGCGGAAGAUGUAACGGGGCUAAACCAUGCACCGAAGCUGCGGCAGCGACGCUUAUGCGUUGUUGGGUAGGGGAGCGUUCUGUAAGCCUGCGAAGGUGUGCUGUGAGGCAUGCUGGAGGUAUCAGAAGUGCGAAUGCUGACAUAAGUAACGAUAAAGCGGGUGAAAAGCCCGCUCGCCGGAAGACCAAGGGUUCCUGUCCAACGUUAAUCGGGGCAGGGUGAGUCGACCCCUAAGGCGAGGCCGAAAGGCGUAGUCGAUGGGAAACAGGUUAAUAUUCCUGUACUUGGUGUUACUGCGAAGGGGGGACGGAGAAGGCUAUGUUGGCCGGGCGACGGUUGUCCCGGUUUAAGCGUGUAGGCUGGUUUUCCAGGCAAAUCCGGAAAAUCAAGGCUGAGGCGUGAUGACGAGGCACUACGGUGCUGAAGCAACAAAUGCCCUGCUUCCAGGAAAAGCCUCUAAGCAUCAGGUAACAUCAAAUCGUACCCCAAACCGACACAGGUGGUCAGGUAGAGAAUACCAAGGCGCUUGAGAGAACUCGGGUGAAGGAACUAGGCAAAAUGGUGCCGUAACUUCGGGAGAAGGCACGCUGAUAUGUAGGUGAAGUCCCUCGCGGAUGGAGCUGAAAUCAGUCGAAGAUACCAGCUGGCUGCAACUGUUUAUUAAAAACACAGCACUGUGCAAACACGAAAGUGGACGUAUACGGUGUGACGCCUGCCCGGUGCCGGAAGGUUAAUUGAUGGGGUUAGCGCAAGCGAAGCUCUUGAUCGAAGCCCCGGUAAACGGCGGCCGUAACUAUAACGGUCCUAAGGUAGCGAAAUUCCUUGUCGGGUAAGUUCCGACCUGCACGAAUGGCGUAAUGAUGGCCAGGCUGUCUCCACCCGAGACUCAGUGAAAUUGAACUCGCUGUGAAGAUGCAGUGUACCCGCGGCAAGACGGAAAGACCCCGUGAACCUUUACUAUAGCUUGACACUGAACAUUGAGCCUUGAUGUGUAGGAUAGGUGGGAGGCUUUGAAGUGUGGACGCCAGUCUGCAUGGAGCCGACCUUGAAAUACCACCCUUUAAUGUUUGAUGUUCUAACGUUGACCCGUGAUCCGGGUUGCGGACAGUGUCUGGUGGGUAGUUUGACUGGGGCGGUCUCCUCCUAAAGAGUAACGGAGGAGCACGAAGGUUGGCUAAUCCUGGUCGGACAUCAGGAGGUUAGUGCAAUGGCAUAAGCCAGCUUGACUGCGAGCGUGACGGCGCGAGCAGGUGCGAAAGCAGGUCAUAGUGAUCCGGUGGUUCUGAAUGGAAGGGCCAUCGCUCAACGGAUAAAAGGUACUCCGGGGAUAACAGGCUGAUACCGCCCAAGAGUUCAUAUCGACGGCGGUGUUUGGCACCUCGAUGUCGGCUCAUCACAUCCUGGGGCUGAAGUAGGUCCCAAGGGUAUGGCUGUUCGCCAUUUAAAGUGGUACGCGAGCUGGGUUUAGAACGUCGUGAGACAGUUCGGUCCCUAUCUGCCGUGGGCGCUGGAGAACUGAGGGGGGCUGCUCCUAGUACGAGAGGACCGGAGUGGACGCAUCACUGGUGUUCGGGUUGUCAUGCCAAUGGCACUGCCCGGUAGCUAAAUGCGGAAGAGAUAAGUGCUGAAAGCAUCUAAGCACGAAACUUGCCCCGAGAUGAGUUCUCCCUGACUCCUUGAGAGUCCUGAAGGAACGUUGAAGACGACGACGUUGAUAGGCCGGGUGUGUAAGCGCAGCGAUGCGUUGAGCUAACCGGUACUAAUGAACCGUGAGGCUUAACCUUACAACGCCGAAG